rnacentral:rRNA from 1 species
UUCAUUCAAAUAUCUGCCCAUCAACUUUCGAUGGUAGGAUAGAGGCCUACCAUGGUUUCAACUGGGUAACGGGGAAUAAGGGUUCGAUUCCGGAGAGGGAGCCUGAGAAAUUGGUACACAUUCCAAGGAGGCAGCAGGCGCGCAAAUUACCCAAUCCCGACACGGGGAGGUAGUGACAAUAAAUAACAAUACAGGGCUCUUUAUUGGGUCCUGUAAUUGGAAUGAGUACAAUUUAAAUCCCUUAACGAGGAACAAUUGGAGGGCAAGUCUGGUGCCAGCAAGCCCGCGGUAAAUUCCAGCUCCAAUAGCGUAUAAUUAACAGUUGUAGCAGUUAAAAAGCUCGUAGUUGAACUUACAGCCCUGGCCCGGAGACGGAUCUUGGCCCUUCACGGUAUGUACUGUCUUGCCUGAGGCUUACCUUCUGGUUGAGGCUUUGGCCAUUGCCAG